CGACUGACAUCCUUCCUCCCAUCCGAUGUCUCAUCCUCCCAUCCGACGUCCUUCCUCCCAUCCGGCAUCCAACAUUUGACCAUCGUCCAUCAGAAUCGACGACGAUCUAACAUCCACCAUCCCCCCUUCUCGCUUGUCUCGGUGUCGCUUCUCGGUUUCAUUGCUCCCAUUCGGCAUCCGGCCAUCACCCAUCGACAUCGAAGAUGCAUCGCCCAACAACCCAAGUGAGUCACUUCUCAGUUCUUGCCUUCUCACCUGUCGGAUCGAUUUAGAUAAUCUUCUCUCCCAUCCGGCAUCAUAUUUAACAUUACUUGAGAGUAUAUAAUAGUUUUCAUUUUCAAUGAAUUUGUUUAGUAUCAUUGUUGUUUCUUUUUUUCUUUUGCUAGAAAAUUAAUCUUUUUUUCAUUGUGUGGGGAGUUGGGGUGAUUCGAGUGGAUCUAGAUUUGUACUUCAAAUACUGUACGUUCUCUUACCUCAAUGCCUUCACUCACUUAACACUACUUUUACUAGUCUUUAACUCUUUCAUCAAAUUAAACUCCCACACCUACCUUUUACCCUUUAUCUUCCUUCCGCUGCCAUUGUUUCUCGGUCUCAACUUGAUGACAGUAAUAACUAACCAAAUGAAUGCCUGCAAUACUUGUUAACUGAUAUUUAUAAAAAUAAAUGUUUGGUAGAAUACCCGUUAAUCAUAUUCAUACCUCGAUUACAUAGUAUACUAAAAAUAAUGAACACAAACAACAUGCUUUUAGUUUGUUAAUAAUGUUUAGCAACUGUAUACUUUAAAUUGUCACCAACUUUAAUCCAUGUUCCUGCUAAACUUAAUCAAGGAAAAAGAUUACUUUUAUGUGUGAGAAAAGUCACUGAUGAGAAAAGAUGUAGAUCCUUGGUAUAACCCCAAAUCCCAAAUAGUAAAACUAGAAGAGUAAACAGAGCAUUUUCCUAGAAGAUAAAUGUUUGCAGAAAGCAGGAUUACCCAACUAACUUUAGCUGUUUUUGUUAACACUUAAUAUAGAUAUAAAAAUUGAUUACUAAUUUAAUAAACAAGGUAAGGUAGACAAAUGAUGCAACUGAUUUGGUUUCAUGUGAUAGGUCACAUGACACAUGUUAUCUAAUAUUUGAGGAUUCCAGAAAAGUCCGAGAAAUGUACUACUCAAUUUAGUAUCACAUGAUGAGCUGUUUCCAAGUUCCAACCCAUUAAACAACAAAGAAAAUGAAUAAGAAUUAUAAUAUAUCUAAUCAAGAAACAUAAUUAUUUGCACUAUUUUCCCAAUCUUCUUAUUUAUGAACUAUAAUUGUGGGCCUUUAUAUUAAACUUGUAAUUUCAUUUAUAUUUAUCUUUUUUACAACAAAACUGCAUAUAGGAGAAAAAAAUGAAAUGAAUUCUCUAUUUUAUUGCUUGAAGUUGUUUGUAAAUAUUUUUUUAAUCUGUAAAUUUUAUUGUCACAGAACAAGUUGUAGGAUUUAUACAGUCUUCUCCGAUUUUUGAAGGUGGAGUGGAACCUUG
rnacentral:lncRNA from 1 species